rnacentral:lncRNA from 1 species
CUUUUUUCAUUUUUGUUUUAGGUUACACCAUUUUCUUAAACUCACAAUGAAGUAAAGUUCUAGAUGGAUUUGAAUUUCAGUAGAAAGACCACUAAUUGGGUGAGAAGAAAUUUAGUAUAACAUUUUUUUUUAUUUAUUUGAUCGAAAGGGAUUUUUACAAAGACAUGACUAUAAUAUAAUUGUUAAUGGUAUUUCAUGCAAUGAUUUGGUUAAUCUUUUUCCACUUAUUUUGUCGUAGAUAGAAUCGUCCUCCGGUUCUAUCUACGACAAACAAUUUUCAGGCAUCAUGUUGUUCAAGCAAUGGAUCCGUUGAAAUCACUCAAGAAAGGAUCAAAUCGUUAGAUCUAGAGGUUAGAAAAAUUGAAUUUGAAGAAUUGUUACUACUACAAUUGUCAUGCUUUUUCUCUCAUUAUUAUUCAUGAUUUCAUUCUAAUUUUUAUUAAAUUUAUUGUAACGCAUUAAACUUUCUAUUUACAGGUGGAGAGAGCACAAGUUGAAACGUCGACGUGUAAUUACCGUGAAGAAAAAAUACGGAG